GUGCUCACUUCGACAGCAUGUAUACUAAAAUUAGAACCAUAUAAAGAAGAUUAGCAUGGCCCUUGCGCAAGGAUGACAUGCCAAUUCAUGAAGUGUUCCAUAUUUUU
ensembl:snRNA U6 U6 spliceosomal RNA